GGUGCCGUUCGUUAGCUGAGGCUCCUUCGCGGAAACAUGCCAGCGACCCCCAACGUCGAGAGACGCCCGGGUCAGGACAGGCCGCCCCGGCAUUAAGGGGUGGUCCCGAUUGGCUCCUGGACACAGUCCGGGUUCACGCCGCGAAGUGCCAAAGGUCUUACGAGGAGGGGCAUG
rnacentral:sRNA from 2 species